rnacentral:rRNA from 1 species
AGUGAACGCUGGCGGUAGGCCUAACACAUGCCAGUCGAACGGCAGCACAGUAAGAGCUUGCUCUUACGGGUGGCGAGUGGCGGACGGGUGAGGAAUACAUCGGAAUCUACUUUUUCGUGGGGGAUAACGUAGGGAAACUUACGCUAAUACCGCAUACGACCUACGGGUGAAAGCAGGGGAUCUUCGGACCUUGCGCGAUUGAAUGAGCCGAUGUCGGAUUAGCUAGUUGGCGGGGUAAAGGCCCACCCAGGCGACGAUCCGUAGCUGGUCUGAGAGGAUGAUCAGCCAAACUGGAACUGAAACACGGUCCAGACUCCUACGGGGAGAAGGAGGGGGGAAUAUUGGACAAUGGGCGCAAGCCUGAUCCAGCCAUACCGCGUGGGUGAAGAAGGCCUUCGGGUUGUAAAGCCCUUUUGUUGGGAAAGAAAAGCAGCAGGUUAAUACCCCGCUGUUCUGACGGUACCCAAAGAAUAAGCACCGGCUAACUUCGUG